CUACGGGUGGCAGCAGUGGGGAAUAUUGCGCAAUGGGCGAAAGCCUGACGCAGCGACGCCGCGUGGGUGAUGAAGGCCUUCGGGUCGUAAAGCCUUGUGGGAGAGGGACGAACAACCUGUGGGAAUAAUACCCCACAGGCCUGACGGUACCUCUUCAGAAAGCACCGGCUAACUCCGUGCCAGCAGCCGCGGUAAUACGGAGGGUGCUAGACGUUGUUCGGAAUUACUGGGCGUAAAGCGCGUGUAGGCGGCUUGGCAAGUCAGAGGUGAAAGCCCUCGGCUCAACCGAGGAAGUGCAUUUGAAACUGCUAGGAGAGAGUACGGGAGAGGGUUGUAGAAUUCCAGGUGUAGAGGUGAAAUUCGUAGAUAUCUGGAGGAAUACCGGUGGCGAAGGCGGCAACCUGGACCGAUACUGACGCUGAGACGCGAAAGCGUGGGGAGCAAACAGGAUUAGAUACCCGCGUAGUC
rnacentral:rRNA from 1 species